UGCCCUCAGCAAAGUUAUCAGAAGCUCACCAACCCUUCUAGGCCCAGUUCAAAUGGGGUUUCCACCUCCGUGGGCUGAGUCCAUCUGUCUUUCCUCGGUGCUUUCCUAAUAUUCCUCCUUUCUGUGUGCUGUUGUACUCUAAUUGUACAGUACAUUCAUACUUCAAUUCUCACCAGCGUGUGAGCUUCUCAAAGCCAAGGGCAGUGUUUUAUUCUUUUUGAAAACUCUCUUUGCCUCAUUUGGUCCUUGUCACUUAAUAGAUCCUCAAUAAAUAGAGUUGGACAAAUGAACCAAGUAAUCAGUCCAGCAGCUUAGAUCUCCAAGCCCGACCUUCUGACCUUCAGCUCACACUCAGGGCCUGGUGAGACCAACACAGCUCCUGGACAGGGUCCACCACCUCCAUCACUGUGCCUUGUCCCUGUCUUCCUUGCACUAGUGUGUGUGUGUAAUCACAGGUCACCUACUGACUAUGUGCAUGGAGAGCUCACUUAUCUUUGCAUCUGUGGGACCCAGAACAAAAGCCAUGAAGUAUUUUGAAACCAUGGAGUCCACUGAAAGGAGGAGCUACUUAUGGCCAGGUGACCAACGAGGGACUUCAGGACCACAGAAACUCUGAGCCGGCUGAAAGCUGAAAGGACCCAGGGCUUCUCAUACUAUAUCUCUGUCCCUUCCUACUGCUUCACCUCCCUCCAGGCCGCUCUUUCCUCACACCUGAACUAUGGAAUAGCCUCUCAAACAGAGGUGAGAAAAAUUGGGAGGCUUAAAGAGAUAACCACCUUCUGAACUCCGCCAUACUCUCCUUCCUGCUGAAGGAGAUAAAACAAACUCAUGGCACCAAGCUGGGCCAUAUAAUUCUGAGUUAGUGCCAGUCUCAUUGGUCAGGAAGCCAUUUACCUUCACUUUGCUUCAAGGUUUCCAUCUGUAAAAGCAAAGGAUAUGACUUGCUCCCUACUCAAUAUUCAGGACUAUGCUGGAAAGAUUCAUGAACAAAGGUUUGGAGAGCUCCCGGAAGGAGUGGGGAAAUCUGAUCACCAUGUGUGUUCAAGGAAAAAAUGGAAACAGCCCUUCUCUGGGAAAAUGAAAGAAGUCACCUCCAAUCUGAUGACAACUGUGUGCCAUGAGGUUCAGCAGAGAGAAGGUGCCAUGAACGCCAGUGGAAGUUGCCAGAAAGUAAUGGAGAUAAGAAGAGUGAAGCAGACACCAGGAUCCAUUAGCUGGCCAGCUCUCUUGGGAAGCUGAGCACACUGUCAAGGACAGCCAAACAUUCAAGAGACUUUUCCCACAUAAUCCCUGCUUUGGAUGUCUUGUAUAUCUUGAUCAGUUUGUUGGGUACAUGGGUGAGUUCAUCAAACUGCACACCUAUGUAAAUUUUAUCUUAAUUUAAAAUCUAUCUAUCUAAUUCCACACAAAUAAAUGAGUUCCCUGCCCAUCAACAGCUAUACUCCAAUUACCGAUUUUUUAAUAGUCCUCAUAUUUAUAUUUAACAAGAUUAAUGUAUGCAAAUAUGAAUAUUCAUGUAUAUCAUAAUCUACAGAUUAAAAUUGGCUGUCAUUCUCUAGUAACUUAUCUCUGAACAUUUAUAAUGCACUGAUAACCUUUCAAAUGUCAGAUAUCUUUGGAAUUAUCAGAAAUAAAAUUAAACUGUGAGCAGCACACUUUUAGUGUUAAAUAUUGUUUUAUUGUUUUCUAAUUCAUUAAAAAUUGGUAAAGCAUGUAUGGAAAUGUAACAACUCUAUCAGAAUACUGGUUUGCCCAGGGGUGCCUGGGUGUCUCAGUCGGUUAAGCGUCCAACUUCGGCUCAGGUCGUGAUUUCCUGGUUUGUGAGUUCAAGCCCUGCAUGGGGCUCUGUGCUGACAGCAUGGAGCCUGGAGCCUGUUUCAGAUUCAGUGUCUCCCUCUCCUCUGCCCCUUCCCUGCUCUCUCUCUCU